rnacentral:sRNA from 1 species
GGAAUUCGGAUUGCGCCCUCCUCCUCCCAGCGCAUUCCGAUCAAGACUGGCGAUCCUCCUCCUCCCAAAUCGCCAGUCGUUACGCGUAACGCCCACCGGAUCCUCCUCCCCCGGUGGGCGUUAUCU